rnacentral:misc_RNA from 1 species
GAAAUGCGAUAAGUAAUGUGAAUUGCAGAAUUCAGUGAAUCAUCGAAUCUUUGAACGCACCUUGCGCGCCUUGGUAUUCCUUGGAGCAUGCCUGUUUGAGUAUCAUGAAAUCUUCAAAGUAAAUCUUUUGUUAACUCAAUUGGUUUCUACUUUGGUAUUGGAGGUCUUUGCAGCUUCACACCUGCUCCUCUUUGUUCAUUAGCUGGAUCUCAGUGUUAUGCUUGGUUCCACUCGGCGUGAUAAGUUAUCUAUCGCUGAGGACACUGUAAAAGGUGGCCAAGGUAAAUGCAGAUGAACCGCUUCUAAUAGUCCAUUGACUUGGACAAUACUUUUAUUAUCUGAUCUCAAAUCAGGUAGGACUACCCGCUGAACUUAAGC